rnacentral:rRNA from 1 species
GACGCACGCUGGCGGCGUGCUUAACACAUGCAAGUCGAACGGAGUGGCGAACGGGUGAGUAACACGUGGGUGAUCUGCCUUGCACUUCGGGAUAAGCUUGGGACAAUUGUUCUAAUACCUGUUAGUGCACGAUGAACUCCCGGCCGAUCAGCUUGUUGGUGGGGUAAUGGCCUACCCAGGCGUCGACGGGUAGCCGGGCUGAGAGGGGGGACGGCAACAUUGGGACUGAGAUACGGCCCAGACUCGUACGGGAGGCAGCAGUGGGGAAGAGUGCACAAGGGGCGGAAGCCUGAUGCAGCGACGCCGCGUGGGGGAUGAAGGCCUUCGGGUUGUAAACUCCUUUCGACAGGGACGCGGUACCUGGAUAAGAAGCACCGGCUAACUACGUGCCAGCAGCCGCGGUAAUAC